GACGCCACGAUUUCAUCUUAUCCGCUCGUGUUCCGAGCUCUCUCCACCCGAAAAUCCUUCGUUCCCCAUUCACGUCUCACGGCUCUUCUUAACCCCGGAUGCACAAGCUGCGCGUCGACUUUGCAGAAAUUCGCGAAGCGUCCGCAUAAAUCGGCGAAACUGGGUCGCGAAAACAGUCUCGUUACUCUGGCUCGAGUCAGGACGCGUCGCGACGGCUCUUCCUCGUGAAAACCGACGACUGACCUUCGAGAAAACGACCGGUGACGUUUCACAGUUACAUCGGGGCGCACAAUGCUUCUAGCGAAAAGUGUGCUGCUGCUAAUUGUGCAGCGGGAAACAAGUUACGCUGUGAACCGUGGCCAAUUUCAUUUAAUUAAGUCGAUCGCGUUCAACUUCGACCUGGCCCAUGCCGAGUUGUCGAGCGUUUCCUCCGGCAGGAAAACACGUCCAGAGAAGUGGCAAACGGAGCACUUGAAUACCAUGGAACAGCUGAUGAUAGAUUUCGAGGAUGGAACCCGAGAUGCAGAUUUCAGAGUAAAUUAUUCUAAGGCGUUACGUGGCCUUCAACCCUUUAUGCCUCGCAUAUCCCUUGGAAAUGCGUAUGAAAAUGGUGUACUCCUUGCGUAAGUGCUCAGAUAAAACUAUAGUUAUAGUAUAACGAUGGGAAUAAGAUACAAGCAUUCCAUUUUCUACGCGUAAACUACUAUAGUUAUUUAAUUUUAUGUGUAUAUUUCAGAUUUGAUGUAAAUAUUAGAAAAUUAUGUAAUAUAUAUAAUUAUAUAGUAAGGAAAAAAGGAUUUAAAUUUGAGGCUAUUUAAUUGAAUUUCAUUUAAUUGGAUGGAAUCUCAUUCACCUUCUAUGCCUGUUUUCUUCAGUCUUGCAAAACAGCAAGGCAAAAUUCUUAUCGCCUUAUCGAUUCCGAUAUUUAGAUUGAACAAGGAAAAAUGGAGAGCCAUAUAUAUCCGAGAUGGUGCAGCAUCGGAUUACGGUCAUAUUUCUUAAGACAAGAUCGAUGAUUUAUUAGACAUUCCACGAUAGCUAAGAUGUCUUUCCAUGGAUUUUAGCUAUUUGAUUUUAGGUUUCACAAAUACACCCUAAUCUAUCAACUGAAAAAAUUGAUUUAUCAUUUGAAUCGUCGAUGUUCUAGGUCGGAUCAUUUUUUCGCGCGGAUGUCUUCGAUCUUUUCAAUAACGCAUCGUGUUACUUUUGUUUCAAGAGUACGCUGCUAACUAUAAAAGAAGCAAACUUAGGCUCGAAUAAACUUACUGAUGCAUACGUUCCUUUCUAUUUGCAAUAAUGUCUUUCAGAUAUUCGAUUUUGUAUACUUUUACUCUGCCUGUGUAAAAAUUGAGAAUUUGGUACGAUUUUACAAUUGAGACGCGAUGUAGAUUACAUGAUGAACCUUCUGAAAAGAAAAAUACAUAAGAACAACUGCAUCACUAAUAGUAUUAAUUUUCGCCAAGUACAACUCCCAGCGUAACCUAUAAUCUUCCUAAACUAACACCUACAUAUACAUACUACAACCUACGCAUGCUUCCAGAGAGAAUCCGCUGCAACGUUAAACCGAAUUUACAUUGGUCCAGUAGCAUACCAGUCCAGUGGUCCAAUACAGCACUGAGUCGUAACUGGAAUAAUGUAAACGGUGUUUUCAUUCCAGUAAGCAAUCCAGCGCAACAACUAAAUCGAAAGUCUACUUUUCAAUUCAAUGUUUACUCCUACAAUCGGGAACACAACAUUCCAGGGUUACUGGAACAGUGUGGACUAUUCAAUAUCCAGUAGCAAAGCGUAGUACAGUAUAUCCAUUGACACUAGAAUCUACCUCUUUCAACGGUACAGAAAAGACUGGAAUAACGUAGAUAUCGAUCCAUUUCCAAUGAAACGACUGUAAUGUAAUCGCUCGAUCCAACGACUGGACUAACGUAGAGCCAGCUUUAAACGUGAAACGCUUCUGUGUUCUGCAAAGCGGCAAGAUUUCCAGUAGAAAGAGUCAGCCGGCCGUGCAGGUCGUUUGUUUCUGCAAAUUGGGACGACUAGCGGUUAACGUCAGCCGGUUACGUCAACUAAAACCGUCGGCAAGUUCUGGCAGACAUCGGCGACGAAACGACUGUCGGUGCUCUUGCCUCGGUAGUUGAAUACAUUCACAGCCCGAUAAAUUUUCGUCGACGGGGAAAUGAAAGUCGUCGGGGAUGCGAGUGUUCGCCGAAUAAUUCCUAUGAUCGCGUGUGCUUCGCUAAAUUCAUAAGGCGGCCCUUAAAAGGACACUCGAGCCUGCUUCUCGAGGAGGCGCCCGCGAGGCAACGCCACUAAAUCUUCCACUGCACUUAAUUACAUUCUCAGCCGACCGUUCUCAGCGCCGUCGCGAACGAGAACAGGCUAACGAUGUUUUUAAUGUCGACGCUUAAAAAAGCACCGUAAGAUAGUCCCUGUAGGUCAGGACCGUACGAGGUCAACUGUCUCUGUCGAAGAUCCAUGUGAAAACAAACGUCCUCGCGGUAAUGACGAUCCAUCGUGCUUUAUACGCAUUAAUUAAUUAAUUAAUUAAUUAAUUAAUUAAUUAAGCGAUUAUACUUUACGUCUAGAGAACCUAGUGAUGCUGGUUUUGAACGUUCCAAUUGGACGUUCCAAUGCAACGAGUGAAUUGGAGACAAUUUAAUACGUUGGUGUAAGUUAAUAGGAAAAUAUAUAGCAGCAAGUCAAAAUUCUUCUACCUGGGUGAAAAAUCUAAGAAAUGAGUUUCUUAUAUUUUAUAUAUGAGAAGAUAGGUUUCUGUAAAGAAUGCGGAAUAAGUUAUCUUGGGUUUCAAACUUUCGCGAUGGUGAGAUACUUUUUUGCACUUUGCACUUGCACUUACACUUUGCAUUCGCAUUUUGGUCCAACGUUUCGUGGAUGAUGUACCCUACUUCUUCAGGGCAGACCUGAAACUGUUUCGGUUGUGGGCCGAUGACAAAAUGUAAGCGCAAAGUGCGAGUACACGAUUACUCAUCGUUAGGAAAACUAAUAUCAAAUUAAAUUCUUAUUCGUACAGAAAAAUCUAUAUCUAUUGAAAGCUAUGGAUGGCAAGGGAAAACGUGUAUACAUAUCGUUUUAAAUUAAUAUAUUAAUUUUAAGAAGAAAUGAUAAACGAUUUGUGUGUCAGUUAGAUUAUUAUGCAAGUUCUUUUCUUAAUGGUAUCAGAAACAUUUUGAUCGUGAAAGAUAUUUUUAGUUCUAAACAAAGAUUUUAACUUUGUGAAUUUAAUAUUAAUUUGUAAUUUAUCUUUGAAAUUGAAUUUUCUCAGGUACUGUUGUCAGAUCUAACAUUCUUCAAACCUUUUCA